AGAGCAGCUCCCUCGCUGCGAUC
rnacentral:piRNA from 2 species